AACGAACGCUGGCGGCAAGCUUAACACAUGCAAGUCGAACGGAUUGUUAUCAUAGCUUGCUAUGAUAACAGUUAGUGGCAGACGGGUGAGUAAUGCAUAGGAAUCUACCUAGUAGUAUGGGAUAGCCACUAGAAAUGGUGGGUAAUACUGUAUAAUCCCUGCGGGGGAAAGAUUUAUCGCUAUUAGAUGAGCCUAUGUUAGAUUAGCUAGUUGGUAGGGUAAAGGCCUACCAAGGCAGUGAUCUAUAGCUGGUCUGAGAGGAUGAUCAGCCACACUGGAACUGAGAUACGGUCCAGACUCCUACGGGAGGCAGCAGUGGGGAAUAUUGGACAAUGGGCGCAAGCCUGAUCCAGCUAUGCCGCGUGAGUGAGGAAGGCCUUAGGGUUGUAAAACGUUUUCAGUGGGGAAGAUAAUGACGGUACCUACAGAAGAAGUCC
rnacentral:rRNA from 1 species